UACGUAGGGCGCAAGCGUUGUCCGGAAUUAUUGGGCGUAAAGAGCUCGUAGGCGGUCUGUUACGUCCGCUGUGAAAACCCAGGGCUUAACCCUGGGCUUGCAGUGGAUACGGGUAGACUAGAGGCAGGUAGGGGAGAAUGGAAUUCCCGGUGUAGCGGUGAAAUGCGCAGAUAUCGGGAGGAACACCGGUGGCGAAGGCGGUUCUCUGGGCCUGACCUGACGCUGAGGCGCGAGAGCGCGGGGAGCGGAACCGG
rnacentral:rRNA from 1 species